rnacentral:rRNA from 1 species
CACGUACUCCGCAAGUGGUGUUCUCUAAUAUUGGGCCUAAAACGUUUGUAGCCGGUUAGGUAAGUCCUCGGUGAAAGCGGCAGGCUUAACCUGUCGAAUUGCCAAGGAUACUGCCCAACUCGAGACCGGGAGGCGUGAGAGGAAUUUCGGGGGUAGCGGUGAAAUGCUAUGAUCCUCGAAGGACCACCAGUAGCGAAGGCGUCUCACGAGAACGGGUUCUGACGGUGAGAGACGAAAGCUGGGGGAGCGACCCGGAUUAGAUACCCGGUUAGUCCCAGCCGUAAACGAUGUUGACUAGGUGUUCCAUUACCUUGAGUAUUGGAGUGCCACAACGAAGGCGUUAAGUCAACUGCCUGGGGAGUAAGGUCGCAAGGCCGAAACUUAAUGGAAUUGGCGGGGGCGCACUACAAGGGGUGGAUGCUGCGGUUU